UGGAGAGAUGCGAGAGUGGUUGAAUCGGGCGGUCUCGAAAACCGUUGUGUCCGCAAGGACACCGAGGGUUCGAAUCCCUCUCUCUCCGA
rnacentral:tRNA from 1 species